UACGUAGGCAGCAAGCGUUGUUCGGAGUUACUGGGCGUAAAGAGUGCGUAGGCGGUGCUCCAAGUCUGUUGUGAAAUCUCCCGGCUUAACUGGGAGGGUGCGGUGGAAACUGGGGUGCUUGAGUGUGGGAGAGGUAAGCGGAAUUCCUGGUGUAGCGGUGAAAUGCGUAGAUAUCAGGAGGAACACCGGUGGCGAAGGCGGCUUUCUGGACGACAACUGACGCUGAGACGCGAAAGCGUGGGGAGCAAACAGG
rnacentral:rRNA from 1 species